UCAAGGCUGAGGCGUGAUGACGAGGCACUACGGUGCUGAAGCAACAAAUGCCCUGCUUCCAGGAAAAGCCUCUAAGCAUCAGGUAACAUCAAAUCGUACCCCAAACCGACACAGGUGGUCAGGUAGAGAAUACCAAGGCGCUUGAGAGAACUCGGGUGAAGGAACUAGGCAAAAUGGUGCCGUAACUUCGGGAGAAGGCACGCUGAUAUGUAGGUGAAGCGACUUGCUCGUGGAGCUGAAAUCAGUCGAAGAUACCAGCUGGCUGCAACUGUUUAUUAAAAACACAGCACUGUGCAAACACGAAAGUGGACGUAUACGGUGUGACGCCUGCCCGGUGCCGGAAGGUUAAUUGAUGGGGUUAGCGGUAACGCGAAGCUCUUGAUCGAAGCCCCGGUAAACGGCGGCCGUAACUAUAACGGUCCUAAGGUAGCGAAAUUCCUUGUCGGGUAAGUUCCGACCUGCACGAAUGGCGUAAUGAUGGCCAGGCUGUCUCCACCCGAGACUCAGUGAAAUUGAACUCGCUGUGAAGAUGCAGUGUACCCGCGGCAAGACGGAAAGACCCCGUGAACCUUUACUAUAGCUUGACACUGAACAUUGAGCCUUGAUGUGUAGGAUAGGUGGGAGGCUUUGAAGUGUGGACGCCAGUCUGCAUGGAGCCGGCCUUGAAAUACCACCCUUUAAUGUUUGAUGUUCUAACGUUGGCCCCUGAUCGGGGUUGCGGACAGUGUCUGGUGGGUAGUUUGACUGGGGCGGUCUCCUCCUAAAGAGUAACGGAGGAGCACGAAGGUUGGCUAAUCCUGGUCGGACAUCAGGAGGUUAGUGCAAUGGCAUAAGCCAGCUUGACUGCGAGCGUGACGGCGCGAGCAGGUGCGAAAGCAGGUCAUAGUGAUCCGGUGGUUCUGAAUGGAAGGGCCAUCGCUCAACGGAUAAAAGGUACUCCGGGGAUAACAGGCUGAUACCGCCCAAGAGUUCAUAUCGACGGCGGUGUUUGGCACCUCGAUGUCGGCUCAUCACAUCCUGGGGCUGAAGUAGGUCCCAAGGGUAUGGCUGUUCGCCAUUUAAAGUGGUACGCGAGCUGGGUUUAGAACGUCGUGAGACAGUUCGGUCCCUAUCUGCCGUGGGCGCUGGAGAACUGAGGGGGGCUGCUCCUAGUACGAGAGGACCGGAGUGGACGCAUCACUGGUGUUCGGGUUGUCAUGCCAAUGGCACUGCCCGGUAGCUAAAUGCGGAAGAGAUAAGUGCUGAAAGCAUCUAAGCACGAAACUUGCCCCGAGAUGAGUUCUCCCUGAGACUUUAAGUCUCCUGAAGGAACGUUGAAGACGACGACGUUGAUAGGCCGGGUGUGUAAGCGCAGCGAUGCGUUGAGCUAACCGGUACUAAUGAACCGUGAGG
rnacentral:rRNA from 1 species